GAUGAACGCUGGCGGCGUGCCUAAUACAUGCAAGUCGAACGCUGAAGGAAGGAGCUUGCUCUUUCCGGGUGAGUUGCGAACGGGUGAGUAACGCGUAGGUAACCUGCCUGGUAGCGGGGGAUAACUAUUGGAAACGAUAGCUAAUACCGCAUAACAGUAGAUGCUGCAUGAUAUCUACUUAAAAGGUGCAAUUGCACCACUACCAGAUGGACCUGCGUUGUAUUAGCUAGUUGGGGAGGUAACGGCUCACCCAAGCGACCGUACAUAGCCGGCCUGAGAGGGAGGUCCGCCAAACUGGGAAUGGAGCACGGCCCAGACUCCUACGGGGGGGAGCAAGAGGGGAACUUCGGCAAAGGGCGGAAGUCUGACCGAGGAAAGCCGCGGGGGAGGAGAAGGGUUUCGGGUCGUAAAGCUCCGUUGUAAGGGAAGGAAGAGUGUGAGAGUGAAAAGUGCACACUGUGACGGUACCUUACCAGAAAGGGACGGCUAACUACGUG
rnacentral:rRNA from 1 species